UUGAACUCACAAAUCCACCUGUCUCUGCCUCCCAAGUGCUGGGAUUAAAGGUGUGUACCACCACUGCCCAGCCAAAGCAAAUACACUUCUUAAUCUAUGUGGCAGUUAUGAAAUACAGCCGUCAAGUGUAAACAGAGUGCUUCUAUGGCAUGGUAAGUUCCCCUGCCAUCCUUCACUCAUCCCAGGGGCUUACAGAAGCCAUGCAAGUCCUCAAAAAGCCUGCUUUGUUUGAACUAUAUUAAUUUUAUUAAUUAAUUGUAUUAGUGGCUAGUUUUAGUAGAGUCAGGGUUCUGAUGUUUUCUUAAAAAUUAUCUCAGUAAAACAAAGAAUAAGUUGAUUUCUCCACUCUACAAAACCAUAUGUGCUGUAAUAAUGCCCUUCUCUGACAUUCUUACUCAGCUGGCUUCAGCUUUUAGCCCUCCCACUCCCUUUCUUCUGCUCCACCAUUUUUCUGUGUACUUUGAUUUUGAACCGACUACCUUAUAUUAAGAUUUCUGUCAUGGUGGCUGGGAAGAUGGCUCAGCUCUUAAGAGCACUGGCUGCUUUUCCAGAGCACCCAGGUUCAUUUCCCAGCAUCUAUAUGGUACCUCAAACUGUCUGUAAUUUAAAUUCCAAAAGAUCCAACACUUGCAACACUGAUAAACAUGUAGACAUAAAACACCCAUGCACAUAAAAUAAAAAUAGAUAAAUCAUUGUUUUAAAAAUGUGAUCUGGCACGGUGUCACAUUCUGGUUAAUUGCUGUACUCUGGAGGAGGCAAGAGGAUGGAGGGUGGAGUUCUGGGCAAGCCUAGGCUACAUAGUGAGACCCUGUCUGAAAAGCCAAGGAAUUCAAAAGAAAGAUUGCUACUAUUUUCUAUCGUUAUGAACUUCCUCUGAGAAAGUGCAGUUUUUGUCUCCUUUUAUACCUGGGUGGAGCUCUGUGAAGACUGUUGGACACAUUUCUUACAGCUUGGUGAGAGCUUGAGCUGGAAAGAAAGCAGAGUCACCAGUUACGUAGGUUAUUCUGUCUGGUUUCCUGGCCGUUUGCAACUGUUUUGAAUAUAUUAUCAUCUGAAUAAGUUGAAGGGUAACUACUACAUCAUGUUAUACUUUUUUUUAAAGAUAAAUUAAGAAAUUUACAAUGACAUUUACAUUUUAGAGACAUUAACUGUCCCCUGAACUAAAUUUUAGUCACAUUUUCCUAUAGCUUUGUAGUUUUUUUUUUUUCUGGAGAAGUAUACUUAUUAUGAUAGUCAUACAUCAUUGCAAAUUAAUUAAGAAUUUUCUUUGUAUUGUCUUCCUCUGUUGUACAAGUACCAUAAAAACUCAGCCAGAACACAUUGCUCUUAUUUUUCUAAUUGAGGGCCAUAGACAGUGUGAUAAAAUUAAAUUGUCACAUCUGUGGAUGUUCUUAGCCUCAUAAGCAGGGCAGCCGUGCUGGUCAGUUACCAUGCAUCCGCAGGCGGGAACUUCAUUGUCUCGCCUGGGAAUGAGCAGAUGCUAAGUGUGCUGUGGUGGACACGUGUCACUGCCCUGGGCUUUAGUCUUGUCUGCCACCAGAACCAUGUAGAAAUGAUGUAAAACUAUGGACUUUUCAUCCUGUUUCUUAAGGUUUUGUGACUAUAGAGUUGAGGAAUAUGCUAUUGCUAACUUGACUGCCAUGCUUGCUAAAGGGGGCAUGUGAGUCAAAAUUAUACAUGUUUGUGUAUAUACAGAAUAUAUGAUUAUAUAUACUGUAAACAGUUCUUUUAUUGGAUAGCCUUUCCCCCUUCAAAUUCAAGCUUUCUUUAUAUUUUUUACCUUUUUACUUGAGCUGUCACUAAGAAUAGACUAUUAUUAUCAUUUAAGAUACAUCCUUUUAACCUAUUGUUGAGUAAAAUAUGUUAAAGGCAGAAUAUCUCAGCUAGCUGCACCCUGAUGUGUGUUUAAGCAGCUCCACGCCUGGCGUUUCCUUUUCUUGUAACAUGAGUGUGAAGGUCACUUUUGUGUGUGUUUUUGUUUUUUGUUUUGUGAGUUUAUUAUAGAUCUAUAGUUGGAGCUUAAGAGGGUGAGAGCCAUGCUAAUUGAGAGGCUUGGGAGUCACCCAGGUGGUCCUUUUCACGCCCCCAGGACUGCAGUUUGAAUGCAGGGCCUGUCUGUCAGGCCGCAGUCUACCUACUGCGAUAUUUCCUCAGCUCCAAGUCACUUUUAGCCUUAUUCUAUUCUUCGUAAAGGUGGUUUGGAAUGUCUGUUGUUGUCGUCGUUGUUUUGAGACUCAGGUUUUUUUUCUGUGUGCAGCCCUGGCUGUUCUGAAACCCACUCUGUAAACCAGGCUGGCUCUGCCUUCCGAGUGCUGAGAUUAAAGACGUGCAUCACCACAACCCAGCUUGGAACCUUUCUAAAAAUUAUUAUUCU
rnacentral:lncRNA from 1 species